rnacentral:misc_RNA from 1 species
UCCGGUUCAUCACCGGCAGUCUCCUUAGAGUUCCCACCUUUACGUGCUGGUAACUAAGGACAAGGGUUGCGCUCGUUACGGGACUUAACCCAACAUCUCACAACACGAGCUGACGACAGCCAUGCAGCACCUGUCUCCGCAUUCCUUUCGGCACUCCAACAUCUCUGUCGGAUUCGCGGGAUGUCAAAAGUAGGUAAGGUUCUUCGCGUUGCAUCGAAUUAAACCACAUGCUCCACCGCUUGUGCGGGCCCCCGUCAAUUCCUUUGAGUUUCAACCUUGCGGCCGUACUUCCCAGGCGGAAGACUUAUCGUGUUAACUUCGAUACAGAUCGGUCUCCCAAUCCACAUCUAGUCCUCAUCGUUUACAGCGUGGACUAC